rnacentral:tRNA from 1 species
GGUGCUUUGGCAGAACGGUUAUGCGCCGGGGUGAAAAUCCGGAGAUCAUGGUUCGAUUCCAUGAGGUACCA